rnacentral:lncRNA from 1 species
CUAGAAAUGAUUACAGUACUUAGCAGUGAUCACCUUGAGGAUAUGACAAAAAGUAGUAACUUUCCUCUUCUUCAUCAGGGGAUGCUCAUUGCUAACAAGGGUUGCAUUUGCCCUCUUGGCCAUUUUGUCCUGCUGUGAGAUCAUGAUCUGCUCAGAAUCCUCUCCCACAGCUAGCUUCUUUUCCAGAUGAUUACUUCGCAUGCACAGAAGCCAUGGCCUGGAAGUGACCAAGUGGUUCUUGGCAUCCAGGUAGGACCUUGUUUUUCUUAUUUGCUGGAUCAGCCAUUUGGGAGUGAAGGGCCUGCUGAUUUCAGGAGUGAAGAUUAGUGUCACAAGAAAUCAGCCGUCAUGUAUGUUAUAUGCUGAAUGUGUAUUCUCUCAGCUCCCACUGCUUGGUUGGGAUUGAAACUUUCCUGACAGUUUGAGAGAAUGAAGAGUGCUUGGGCGUUGUGGCAAUCAGGCUGCUCUGAAAAUGGUUAAACUUUUAAUCAGUUGUGAGCUCUUAUGUCACCA